AGCGAACGUUUGCGGCGGGCCUAACACAUGCAAGUCGAACGCACUAGCAAUAGUGAGUGGCGCACGGGUGCGUAACACGUGGGUAAUCAACCCUUCAGCCUGGGAUAACGACUCGAAAGGGUCGCUAAUACCGGAUACGGCGCGAGAGGCUUCGGCUUCUCACGAGAAAGCCACGCAAGGGGCACUGAAGGACGAGCCUGCGGCCCAUCAGCUAGUUGGUGAGGUAAGAGCUCACCAAGGCUAAGACGGGUAGCUGGUCUGAGAGGAUGAUCAGCCACACUGGAACUGAGACACGGUCCAGACUCCUACGGGAGGCAGCAGUGGGGAAUAUUGCGCAAUGGGCGAAAGCCUGACGCAGCCACGCCGCGUGAGCGAUGAAGGCCUUCGGGUCGUAAAGCUCUGUGGGGAGAGACGAAGAAAGCCUGUGAAGAGCAGGCCUUGACGGUAUCUCCCUAGCAAGCACCGGCUAACUCCGUG
rnacentral:rRNA from 1 species